ACUGGAAGUGACAACAUGAAGAGAGAGAAGCUGAUUGUGCAGAAAUAAAAGCCAGGCUACAACUAAAGUUCAGGUCUUUGGUAGCCCCUGAAGUAAUCCUUCUUCAGUGCAAAAGUGGAACACUAAAAGAACAAGUCGACAACAGCACCAGAAAAUAAAGUGAAAAUAUGUCACCAUUUACUGAGUACAACCUGAUAACAGACCAACAUAUAAGGAGGCACGUGAGGAGAAAAAGCAGCCUUCAGCUGUGAGUUGUGUACAUGCACCUCGCUCAAGGCAUCAAGUCUGAACCGCCACAGGAAAAUCCAUUCUAAAGGAAAACGUCACAUGUGUCCCAUCAGCCUCAAGGCCUUUCGAGCAGCUGCUCUCCUGCAGAACCACGUGAAUGUGCAUGCAGGAGAGCGUCCUCAUGCAUGUUACCUGUGCAGCUAUGCUUGCAAAGAUGCAUAUAAACUGAAAAGACACUUGGCAAUCUGAUACACUUGGAAUCAGGUGAAAAACCACACGAAUGUUACAUUUGCUACACCAGAUUUGCUCAGAGUGGUAACAUGAAAGCACACAUAAUAAGGAAGCAUGGAGAAGAUGUGCCAAAAUACCAGUGUCCACACUGCAGUGCCUAUAUUGCACAGAAAAGAGAUUUGGGGAGAAAAAAAGGGGGAGGGGAGAUCUCUAGUCCAGCGAGUGUGUGUGCUCAAAUGAAGACCCACAGGUUCUGAUCUGUGUGUAGCUCUGACAAAUACUUUUUUAUACAUCUGUAAAAUCCAGAAUGAAAGCAUCAAUUAUACUGCAUAUAUCUUCUGCUGAACUGAUAGUAUGGAGAAAUACGAAGGUUGAUCCAACAGUGAUGUCUCCUACUUAUUUCCAUGGAAACUACAAAAGAUUUUAAAAAAACCAAACCAUAAUAGCACUAUUUGAUAGAGCAAAUUGUCACGUAAAAGCAUCUUCAUUCUGCCCUCAUUCAAAGCUUUCCCAUUGCUUCCUUUCUCAGCCAUCUGAAAAAUCUGUCUUUUUGCCCAUUCGCAAGGCCUGUAGUGUGAACAUCAUCUUUUGUCUUUGUUGUUGUUUCUGUCCUGGGUGAAAUUGAGUACCACUACAUUGCCAUAAGAAUGCUAGACGGCAUGAUAAAAAAAGCUCUUACAUAAUAGAAUGGUUUGGGUUGGAAGGGAACCUUAGGAUUGUUAGGGAUGCAGACCUUCUAGCACAUCAAGGUGCUCUAAGCUCCAUCCAGCGUGGCCUGAACACAGCUGGGAAUGGGGCAUCUGCAACUUCCCUGGGAGCGUGUUCCACUGAUCCACCUGGUUGUGGUCGUUGCAAACAGGAAUGACCUCAGGAGGAGAAGCUGUGACCUUCUCCAAGGGACUGGGCAGCAACUGAUGCAUUCCUCAGCAUCUGC